GAAAGCCUGACGGAGCAAUACCGCGUGAGGGAGGAAGGCUCUUGGGUUGUAAACCUCUUUUCUCAGGGAAGAAAAAAAUGACGGUACCUGAGGAAUAAGCAUCGGCUAACUCCGUGCCAGCAGCCGCGGUAAUACGGAGGAUGCAAGCGUUAUCCGGAAUGAUUGGGCGUAAAGCGUCCGCAGGUGGCUAUGUAAGUCUGCUGUUAAAGAGUCUAGCUCAACUAGAUAAAGGCGGUAGAAACUACAAGGCUAGAGUACGUUCGGGGCAGAGGGAAUUCCUAGUGUAGCGGUGAAAUGCGUAGAGAUUAGGAAGAACACCAGUGGCGAAGGCGCUCUGCUAGGCCGUAACUGACACUGAGGGACGAAAGCUAG
rnacentral:rRNA from 1 species